rnacentral:rRNA from 1 species
GACGAACGCUGGCGGCGUGCCUAAUACAUGCAAGUUGAGCGAUGAAGAUUGGUGCUUGCACCAAUUUGAAGAGCAGCGAACGGGUGAGUAACGCGUGGGUAAUCUGCCUUUGAGCGGGGGACAACAUUUGGAAACGAAUGCUAAUACCGCAUAACAACUUUAAACAUAAGUUUUAAGUUUGAAAGAUGCAAUUGCAUCACUCAAAGAUGAUCCCGCGUUGUAUUAGCUAGUUGGUGAGGUAAAGGCUCACCAAGGCGAUGAUACAUAGCCGACCUGAGAGGGUGAUCGGCCCAAUUGGGACUGGGACACGGCCCAAACUCCUACGGGAGGCAGCAGGAGGGAAUCUUCGGCAAUGGACGAAAGUCUGGCCGAGCAACGCCGCGUGAGUGAAGAAGGUUUUCGGAUCGUAAAACUCUGUUGGUAGAGAAGAACGUUGGUGAGAGUGGAAAGCUCAUCAAGUGACGGUAACUACCCAGAAAGGGACGGCUAACUACGUG